rnacentral:rRNA from 1 species
UGGGGAAUUUUACGCAAUGGGCGAAAGCCUGACGUAGCGACACCGCGUGAGCGAAGAAGCCCUUUGGGGUGUAAAGCUCUGUCAGCUGGAACGAAAAAAAUGACGGUACCAGCAGAGGAAGCAUCGGCUAACUACGUGCCAGCAGCCGCGGUAAGACGUAGGAUGCAAGCGUUGUCCGGAUUUAUUGGGCGUAAAGAGUUCGUAGGCGGUUUGGUAAGUCUGAUGUUAAAGAUCGAGGCUCAACUUCGAGAGUGCAUUGGAUACUGCCAGACUGGAGUGUGGUAGAGGCUAGUGGAAUUCCUAGUGUAGCGGUGAAAUGCGUAGAUAUUAGGAAGAACACCAGUGGCGUAGGCGACUAGCUGGGCCAUAACUGACGCUGAGGAACGAAAGCCAGGGGAGCAAAUGGGAUUAGAUACCCCCGUAGUCC